GGAUGAACGCUGACAGAAUGCUUAACACAUGCAAGUCUAUGAGAAGAUCUACUUCGGUAGAAGGUUAUCAUGGCGGACGGGUGAGUAACGCGUAAAGAACUUGCCUCUUAGACUGGGAUAACAGAUGGAAACGUCUGAUAAGACUAGAUAUAAUAAUGACAUAGCAUCAUGUUGUUAUGAAAGGUAACACUAAGAGAGAGCUUUGCGUCCUAUUAGUUAGUUGGUGAGGUAAUGGCUCACCAAGACGAUGAUAGGUAGCCGGCCUGAGAGGGUGAACGGCCACAAGGGGACUGAGAUACGGCCCUUACUCUUACGGGAGGCAGCAGUGGGGAAUAUUGGACAAUGGAGGAAACUCUGAUCCAGCAAUUCUGUGUGCACGAUGAAGGUUUUCGGAUCGUAAAGUGCUUUCAGUAGGGAAGAAGAAAGUGACGGUACCUACAGAAGAAGCGACGGCUAAAUACGUGCCAGCAGCCGCGGUAAUACGUAUGUCGCAAGCGUUAUCCGGAAUUAUUGGGCGUAAAGGGCAUCUAGGCGGUCAAUCAAGUCGAAGGUGAAAACUUGUGGCUCAACCAUAAGCUUGCCUACGAAACUGAUUAACUAGAGUACUGGAGAGGUGGACGGAACUACACGAGUAGAGGUGAAAUUCGUAGAUAUGUGUAGGAAUGCCGAUGAUGAAGAUAGUUCACUGGACAGAAACUGACGCUGAAGUGCGAAAGCUAGGGGAGCAAACAGGAUUAGAUACCCUGGUAGUCCACGCCGUAAACGUUGCACAUUUGCCGUGGGGGGAAUUGACCCCCCCCGUGGCGGAGCUAACGCGUUAAAUGUGCCGCCUGGGGAGUACGGCCGCAAGGUUAAAACUCAAAGAAAUUGACGGGGGCCCGCACAAGCGGAGGAGCAUGUGGCUUAAUUCGAUGCAACGCGAAGAACCUUACCUAGGCUUGACAUGUGACUGCACGCCCUGUGAAAGCAGGGCUCCUUCGAGGGUGUCACACAGGUGCUGCAUGGCUGUCGUCAGUUCGUGCCGUGAGGUGUUUGGUUAAGUCCACCAACGAACGCAACCCCUGCGUCCAUUUGCCAACGGGUAAUGCCGGGAACUAUGGACGGACUGCCCCUUCAAACGGGAGGAAGGUGGGGAUGACGUCAAGUCAGUAUGGCCCUUACGCCUAGGGCUGCACACGUGCUACAAUGGCCGGUACAGAAGGAUGCAAGACCGCGAGGUGGAGCAAAACCCCAAAACCGGCCCCAGUUCAGAUUGGAGUCUGCAAUUCGACUCCAUGAAGUUGGAUUCGCUAGUAACGGCGCAUCAGCAUUCGGCGCCGUGAAUACGUUCCCGGGCCU
rnacentral:rRNA from 1 species